UACGAGGGGGGCAAAUGUUGUUCGGAAUCACUGGGCGUAAAGGGAGCGUAGGCGGGGUCUUAAGUAAAGUGUUUAAUCCCGGGGCCCAACCCCGGACCGGCAUUUUAAACUGGGACUCUUGAAUAGUGGAGAGGUCGGUGGAAUUGGGGGUGUAGCGGUGGAAUGCGUAGAGAUGUGGAGGAACACCGAUGGCGAAGGCAGAUCUCUGGGCCGUAACUGACGCUGAGGAGCGAAAGCGUGGGGAGCGAACAGG
rnacentral:rRNA from 1 species